UUCACCUGAGUACACAACACCAGCACAGAAAAAAAUUCAUAUUACAAAAACACAUUGGUAUUGAAGGAACUAGAUACUGUUCCGAAAUAUCACUUACUCGAACCGUCCUGAACGCGUAGCUCAGUUGGAAGAGCAUUGGGCUAGUAUUCCAAAAGUCGUAGGUUCGAAUCCCACCGUGGCCGGGCAUAUUUUUCAAGCUCGCCCGGUGUGGAUAUGCACUCAGAGUAACAUCGCAAACAUAUUAUUCACCUGAGUACACAACACCAACGCAGAAAAAAAAUUCAUAUUACAAGAACACAUUGGUAUUGAAGGAACUAGAUACUGUUCCGAAAUAUCACUUACUCGAACCGUCCUGACCGCGUAGCUCAGUUGGAAGAGCAUUGGGCUAGUAUUCCAAAGGUCGUAGGUUCGAAUCCCACC